GGUAACGGCCCACCAAGUCGACGAUCAGUAGCCGGACUGAGAGGUUGAACGGCCACAUUGGGACUGAGAUACGGCCCAGACUCCUACGGGAGGCAGCAGUCGGGAAUAUUGCGCAAUGGAGGAGACUCUGACGCAGUGACGCCGCGUGCAGGAAGAAGGUUUUCGGAUUGUAAACUGCUUUAGACAGGGAAGAAACAAGACAGUACCUGUAGAAUAAGCUCCGGCUAACUACGUGCCAGCAGCCGCGGUAAUACGUAGGGAGCAAGCGUUAUCCGGAUUUAUUGGGUGUAAAGGGUGCGUAGACGGGAAAUUAAGUUAGUUGUGAAAUCCCUCGGCUUAACUGAGGAACUGCAACUAAAACUGAUUUUCUUGAGUGCUGGAGAGGAAAGUGGAAUUCCUAGUGUAGCGGUGAAAUGCGUAGAUAUUAGGAGGAACACCAGUGGCGAAGGCGACUUUCUGGACAGUAACUGACGUUGAGGCACGAAAGUGUGGGGAGCAAACAGGAUUAGAUACCCUGGUAGUCCACACCGUAAACGAUGAAUGCUAGGUGU
rnacentral:rRNA from 1 species